rnacentral:rRNA from 1 species
GAUGAACGCUGGCGGCGUGCCUAAUACAUGCAAGUCGAGCGAACAGACGAGGAGCUUGCUCCUCUGACGUUAGCGGCGGACGGGUGAGUAACACGUGGAUAACCUACCUAUAAGACUGGGAUAACUUCGGGAAACCGGAGCUAAUACCGGAUAAUAUAUUGAACCGCAUGGUUCAAUAGUGAAAGACGGUUUUGCUGUCACUUAUAGAUGGAUCCGCGCCGCAUUAGCUAGUUGGUAAGGUAACGGCUUACCAAGGCGACGAUGCGUAGCCGACCUGAGAGGGUGAACGGCCACACUGGAACUGAGGCACGGUCCAAACUCCUAAGGGAGGGAAGAGUAGGGAAUCUUCCGGCAUUGGCGGAAGCCUUACGGGGCAACGCCGGGGGAGUGAAGAAAGUUUUCGGAUCGGUAAACUCUGUUAAUAGGGAAGAACAAAAGUGUAAGUAACUAUGCACGUCUUGACGGGACCUAAUCAAGAAGCCACGGCUAACUACCGU